AGAGUUUGAUCCUGGCUCAGAUUGAACGCUGGCGGCAUGCCUUACACAUGCAAGUCGAACGGCAGCACGGAGCUUGCUCUGGUGGCGAGUGGCGAACGGGUGAGUAAUAUAUCGGAACGUACCCUAGAGUGGGGGAUAACGUAGCGAAAGUUACGCUAAUACCGCAUACGAUCUAAGGAUGAAAGUGGGGGAUUCGCAAGAACCUCAUGCUCGUGGAGCGGCCGAUAUCUGAUUAGCUAGUUGGUAGGGUAGAAGCCUACCAAGGCAUCGAUCAGUAGAUGGUCUGAGAGGACGACCAGCCACACUGGAACUGAGACACGGUCCAGACUCCUACGGGAGGCAGCAGUGUGGAAUUUUGGACAAUGGGCGAAAGCCUGAUCCAGCAAUGCCGCGUGAGUGAAGAAGGCCUUCGGGUUGUAAAGCUCUUUUGUCAGGGAAGAAACGGUGGUUUCUAAUACAGAUCACUAAUGACGGUACCUGAAGAAUAAGCACCGGCUAACUACGUGCCAGCAGCCGCGGUAAUACGUAGGGUGCAAGCGUUAAUCGGAAUUACUGGGCGUAAAGCGUGCGCAGGCGGUUUUGUAGGUCUGUCGUGAAAUCCCCGGGCUCAACCUGGGAAUUGCGAUGGAGACUGCAAGGCUAGAGUUUGGCAGAGGGGGGUAGAAUUCCACGUGUAGCAGUGAAAUGCGUAGAUAUGUGGAGGAACACCGAUGGCGAAAGCAGCCCCCUGGGUCAAGACUGACGCUCAUGCACGAAAGCGUGGGGAGCAAACAGGAUUAGAUACCCUGGUAGUCCACGCCCUAAACGAUGUCUACUAGUUGUCGGGUUUUAAUUAACUUGGU
rnacentral:rRNA from 1 species